AUCAAUAAAUUCUGCUGACCUAUACGUCUCACUGCUGCAGUCCGACACUAUCGGCCGGCCUGGUGGGACGACGAAUGGGAUGCUCCAGGAGGCUGCUUCCUUAUGGAUUUUGGGGAGGAGGAACUUUUCUUUUUCCAUAACCACCACGACACUGCCUUUAUCGGCUGGUUUUAUGAUGAGGUUUUGGUUGUUUUUUAGUUCACUCAGGGCUAAGUUCUCCUCCUUGGACAGGACAUAUGAGGGGAGGGAAGCCUUCGGGAAGGUCCAGGAAGAAGGUGGAAGGAACGGCAC